CAAUAGCAUAUAUUAAAGUUGUUGCAGUUAAAAAGCUCGUAGUUGGAUUUCUGGUUGAAGCGACCGGUCGGGCGUUGAUUCGUCUGCACUGGAGUCGGUUUUGGCCAUCCUCUAGGAAAGUGCGUCUGGUAUUAAGUUAUCGGGCGUAUGAUCCUGGUCUUUUACUGUGAAAAAAUUAGAGUGUUUAAAGCAGGCCUUCGCCUUGAAUACAUUAGCAUGGAAUAAUAAGAUAGGACUUUGGUCUAUUUUGUUGGUUUGCAGACCGAAGUAAUGAUUAAUAGGGAUAGUUGGGGGUAUUUAUAUUCCGAUGUCAGAGGUGAAAUUCUUAGAUUUUCGGAAGAUAAACUUAUGCGAAAGCAUUUACCAAGGAUGUUUUCAUUAA
rnacentral:rRNA from 1 species